CCCCCCCUUACCCACUGUGACAGCCUCUCAUUGACACGCCCUUUACUGGCUUCCUUCUCUUGCCCAUCUCACUUGUCACUCCCUUAUCAGUGUUUCUGGGGUUCUCUCUAAAUUCUUAUCUCUGAGUCUGCUUCUAGGAGAACCCGAAUGAAGUCAAUAGGAAGGCCCUGGAGGAGGUGAGAGGCACACCGCAUGGGCCUGCAGUGGGUGCUGCCAUACUGCACCUGUGUAGAUUCUCCAGCUGAGUGACAGUUGGAAUGGAAGUCAAGGGAGGCUGAGGGGAUCUAAAGUGAUGCAUACAGGUGUCUGAUGGGUGUGUGCUACACCUGGCAGGAAGGGUGACCCUUCAUUACUUUAAGCGAGCUCUGAGUGAGUAUUGACCCUGUGCAGAGACUGCUGGCACUACACGUGGAUCAGUGCAGUGAAGGCUCCCAAUGAGAAGCAGGCGGUUAUCAUUGACCACGUUUCACAAAUAAGAAAACCGAAGCUCAGAAGGAUGAAGGAAUCUGCCAAAGGAGUCCUCUGUGUGUGCUUACUCCCUGUACCUAGAAAACUUGCCGUUUCAUUUGAGGGAGUGGAAAGUUGGAAUCUGCGAGAAAUCUCCUGCCCUGCAGAGGGAGCUGCCCAUGAAACUCCAUCACUAACUUGCACUAGAAAUGAGGUGAAUUUCAGAGUCUAUUUGAAUUAUCCUAAUUCCAGUGUAACAAUUCCAUUUAAUGGCUGGCUCACCUCACUCGGAGAGUCCUUGGGCCUUGAGGACAGGGACAAGAAAGCACUAAUGAGGAAGAACAUGCUGGAGGAAUAUCAUAUUCAGCAAGCCUAGAGGCAGUGACUCCAGCCAUCAAGAUCCCAGGAAACACUUUAGGUACGAUACUGAAAACAUGUCCGGGGCUGAAGGAAGCCAGUGAACGUCUGCCCCUUUGCUCACUAUUUCUGCUUCCACUUGUUUUCACCUUUGUGGUGCUCAUGUUUAAGAAAACGUCUUGCUGCUUCUGAAUCAGAAAGGCCAUCAGGGAGGGAGAGUUAAGGUUUGGAAAAAUUUCUUAAGGAGGUGAGGAAGGAUGUAUGGAGGGCACGCAAAAUGGAAGUAGCUUGGAUUGAGGACUAACUGGAAAUUUAAAGGAAAGCAAUAAGUUUAAGUGAAAAAGGGAACAGAAAGAGUGGUGCAAGAGAGGCAGGACAGGUCAGGCUUCAUACAGAUUUGGUCAGUGAUGGAUGGAAAGCUAGGGGUGAGGGAUUUAACCAGUGGACAAUGUCAAUGAUACUGCUCAGGGGAAGCCUGAAAGAAUCCUGGGUUCAAGGUCCAAUCACUCCUUCUUGCUCUGAUAUUUCCCAGUUGUGUAAACAUGGGCAAAUAAGGUAGCAUCCUCGAACCUCAGUCACCUGAAGUACAAACACUCGCUAAUAAUAAUAUCCAACAAUAGUAUUGUGGUAGGGGUCAAAUGAGAUCUCACGUGUGAAAGCAUUUUGUAAACCGUAAGCACUACCUAACGGAAGAAUUAUUGCAUACCAGCUGAGUCUCAUUACUCACGUGGACCAGGCCAGAGGCAGGGCAGAAAUUACAAAGCGUCCCUUAAAGGAGUGCAUUUUUAUUACUUCUACUUCGUAGUAACUUGGACUAUGUCAACAAGCUAUCUUAGCGGAAGACCUUGGAAUAUUCUGUUGGGCUGUGGUAGUAGAUAUUGGAGGGCUUAGUUAAAAACAAUGCAAAUCUUCAUGCUUUAUGAGUUCUUAUGAUGCUUCCUAACCUAGCCUAUGGUCUGCAUGGGAUAGAGAUAGACAUAUUCUGGUAACAGUCAGGAAGGAGUCCUAUCCCACCAUUUCACUCUGCCUGGAAAGUUGGGUUUGCCCUUAGUCAUCCUACUUAGAAGAUAGAGGUCAUUUGGGUGGAAAUGCACUUUUGUCCUCUGUGGUUUUGAGAAGAUAAGUGAGAUAGUGCAAUGUAAAGGGCUGGAGAAUUAUAAAGUGCUAAAGACAAGUGUUCCGGGUACAUUAUGUUGUAGUUCGCAGAGGCAGCUGGUUGUAGGGGAAAGAAAUGGAAUCUUAAGUAAGAAGAGCUGAGUUUAAGUCCUGACUGUCACUGUCUGUUUGUUUGACCUUGGGCAAAUCAGUUAACCUGUCAGUGUGUCAGCUGUGUUAUCUGAAAAAUGUGGAAAAGACCCACCUCACCACUGCGCAGGCCGUGGGGAGGAUAAAAUGCACGACAGUGGGCUUUGCAAACCGUAGAGCACUAAACUAAACUAGUGCUCCUAUUUGAAUGCAAAGCACGUGAACUAUCGAUUUUCUCUUUCUGUUGUCCACACUCUGUCGCUGGGGGGAGCCUGAAUGGUCUUUCUGCACAGGGUCUGCACCCCGGUUAUAUGUGUCUGAACCCCACUGAGUUCUGGGUGCUGAUUCAAUACUCGUAGCCUUUAAAAUCCGCAGUGGCUUUUUAGACCAAGUGGCUGUGAAGAGGCUAGAAGUGUAAUAUCUCAGGAUGGAGCCUGUGCUGUACCUCUAAUGAAGGCGAUCUCUAGUAAUCUUUGGUUUGAAUACCUCCGUUGUGUGCUUUCCAUCAUUUUUAUGAUGAGAAAGUUGUCAUCUGUGUAGCAUCUGCAGAGCUCUGGUUGAGAAGUGAGUUGGUUUAGAGCAUUUCAUUUCAGAUCACUCAUAAAGAUUUCAGUGGCACUGUUCCUUCAUUCCGCCUGGUAGUCAAUUUUCUUCACGACUACAAUGGUGUGAGUGUCAUCUUUUGAGCCUAAAUACUGCAGUUUAAAAGUCCCCUGAACCUGAAUAAAAACAUUUGUUUUCUUUAAAGUGUGAGCCUUCCUAGAGCCUGGCCUAAAUUCCUUUUAUGUCUGUUUUGAAAUGCAGCUUAUGCCAGCCAGUCACAGAUGCUUCCCUUCACUCUGCUCCUUCCUUAGUACCCAAAGUGGUUCCUCAGUUCGAGGACACAAGGCAGCUGCAGGCUUGCUUUGACUGACAGCUUAUAGGAACUCCUGGCCCAGCAUUUUCAGCGGGAUGGAGUUGGCAUUGAGUAUGAUGUCUCGCUAUCUGGAGAAAAUCUGUCCUUAUAUGGUCAGGAGUUUUCACUCACCUGAAGAAAGCUG
rnacentral:lncRNA from 1 species